UGGGGAAUAUUGCACAAUGGGCGCAAGCCUGAUGCAGCCAUGCCGCGUGUGUGAAGAAGGCCUUCGGGUUGUAAAGCACUUUCAGCGGGGAGGAAGGCGGUGAGGUUAAUAACCUCACCGAUUGACGUUACCCGCAGAAGAAGCACCGGCUAACUCCGUGCCAGCAGCCGCGGUAAUACGGAGGGUGCAAGCGUUAAUCGGAAUUACUGGGCGUAAAGCGCACGCAGGCGGUUUGUUAAGUCAGAUGUGAAAUCCCCGGGCUCAACCUGGGAACUGCAUUCGAAACUGGCAGGCUAGAGUCUUGUAGAGGGGGGUAGAAUUCCAGGUGUAGCGGUGAAAUGCGUAGAGAUCUGGAGGAAUACCGGUGGCGAAGGCGGCCCCCUGGACAAAGACUGACGCUCAGGUGCGAAAGCGUGGGGAGCAAACAGG
rnacentral:rRNA from 1 species